GCCUACGGCCAUACCACCCUGAAAGCGCCCGAUCUCGUCUGAUCUCGGAAGCUAAGCAGGGACGGGCUUGGUUAGUACUGGAUGGGAGACCGCCUGGGAAUACCAGGUGUUGUAGGCU
rnacentral:rRNA from 1 species